UCCCGGAAACGGUCCCAUAGGACCGGAAGUGACCCUCUUUAUUUCCCUUCCUCACGUGGUGCGGGCAGGAAGUGACGCGCGCGGCCCGGGAGCUGCGGACGUAGAGGCCGACGGAGCCGGAGUCGCGGACGCCGCGGGGUCUCCGGGACAGGAACCCUCAGUGCUGCAUCCAGAUUGUGCAGGAGAGGUUUGCUGUGGCUGUGGGCCUACCCAGCCAGCCGAAUGGCAGCCGCACUCGAUUUGAAAUCAAAGCAGGAGAAGGAUGCUGAGCUGGACAAGAGGAUCGAGGCUCUCCGGCGGAAGAACGAGGCGCUCAUCCGGCGCUACCAGGAGAUUGAGGAAGACCGUAAAAAAGCUGAACUUGAGGGAGUGGCGGUCACAGCUCCCCGGAAGGGCCGCUCGGUGGAGAAAGAGAACAUGGCACUGGAGGCGGAGAAGAACGUGGGUCCUUCCCGGAGGUCUCCUGGGACCCCUCAGCCCCCAGGGGCCAGCAAGGGGGGCCGGACUGCUCCGCAGCAAGGAGGCCGCACCAGCAUGGGCCAGGCAUCCCGCAGCUGGGAGGGCAGUCCUGGGGAGCAGCCUCGAGGAGGAGCCAGGGGCCGUGGCCGGCGGGGCCGGGGCCGCGGGUCCCCUCACCUCUCUGGAGACACCUCCGCUUCUGACCGGAAAUCCAAGGAGUGGGAGGAGCGGCGCAGGCAGAACAUUGAGAAGAUGAACGAGGAGAUGGAGAAGAUCGCAGAGUACGAGCGCAACCAGCGGGAAGGGGUGCUCGAGCCCAACCCUGUUCGGAACUUCCUGGAUGACCCCCGGCGACGCAGUGGGCCCCUGGAGGAGUCUGAGCGGGACCGCCGGGAGGACAGCCGCCGGCAUGGGCGCAACUGGGGGGGCUCCGACUUCGAGCGGGUGCGCUGUGGCCUCGAGCAUGAGCGGCAGGGCCGCCGAGCUGGCCUGGGCAGUACUGGAGAUAUGACGCUGUCCAUGACGGGCCGGGAGCGGUCAGAGUACCUGCGCUGGAAGCAGGAGAGGGAGAAGAUCGACCAGGAGCGGCUGCAGAGACACCGCAAGCCCACUGGCCAGUGGCGGCGCGAGUGGGACGCCGAGAAGACCGAUGGGAUGUUCAAGGACAGCCCGGUCCCUGCUCGAGAACCAUCCCACCGCUAUGAUGACCAGGCCUGGGCCCGGCCCCCGAAGCCCCCUACUUUUGGGGAGUUCCUGUCCCAGCACAAAGCCGAGGCUAGCAGCCGCAGGAGGAGAAAGAGCAGCCGGCCCCAGGCCAAGUCAGCGCCCUGGGCCUACAGUGACCAUGAUGACCGCUGGGAGACAAAAGAGACAGCAGCAUCUCCAGCCCCCGAUGCUCCACAGCCCACUCCCCUCGUGGAGACACCCAUGCAGCCACCCGAGACCCCAGCACCUGCCCACCAGCCUCCCGAAGACGAGGGGGAAGAGAAUGAGGAGAAUGAGGGGGAAGAGGAUGAAGAAUGGGAGGACAUAAGCGAGGACGAGGAGGAGAUUGAGGCGGAAGAAGGAGCUGACGAGGAGGAACCAGCUGAAGACCAUGAAGCCCCUGCGGCAGCCAGCCCCACCCUGAGCCCCUGCAGUGAGCAGGCCCAUGGAACCCCCUUCAGGCCGGAGGAGCCCCUGCCGGAGCCCCAGGCCCCUGCCACACCUUCCAGCCCUUUCUCGCCACCCAGCGGCCACCAGCCUGUGUCUGAUUGGGGUGAAGAGGUGGAGCUGAAUUCUCCCCGGACCGCCCACCCGGCUGGCGCCCUCUCUCCGGGAGGCGACCAGUCAGCCCGGGCUUCCCUGGAGAGCGGGCCCAGCCUCCCAGGAUCCCAGAAAGCUGAAGAGGAGGGGUCUGAGGCAACUCCAGAGGCGAGCCCCGAGGGCCAGGAGACGGCGGAGAUCACCGACUUCCAGAGGGCCUCCCCGAAUUCCUGAAGACGCUGCUGGGAGGGGACUGAAGCUUCCCCGCCUUGAUGGGGAGGGGUCGUCAGGAAGGGUUUAUCUGGAUUUCCAGGCUAUGUUCUCCCCCAGAGCCUGGUCUGGACCCCCGUGGCUCUAGGGACCGGGAGAAGCUGACGGUGGGGGAGGAGCUGGGAGAAGGGGCGCGUUUGCGGUUAGGGGCGGAGCUGGAACCUGGGAGCCUGAUGCUGAGGACACCUGGAAGGGCGGCUGUGUGCUGGAGGUGGGCGGGGCGGGUCCCGCGGGGCGGGGCUAGGCUGCCUGGGCGGGGCCGAAACCGGGCAGGCGGAGUUAGAGCAGAGGGCGGGGCCUGCGCGCGGGGCUGGGGCUUCUGCCACCGGCCUGCGGCGGAGCCGCCAGCGGGGGCGCGGGCAGGGUGCCGCAUGGGAGCCUGCGGAGGAGGAAAGCGGGGACUCCUGACUAGAGUGUGGGAGCCAGAGGGCGGAGAGCGGGGGAGGUUUGAGCGCUGGAGUAGACGGUCCGACAGGCAGAGAGAACUGAACCUGGCUGCGGCGGAGGGCGGGGAUCGCCAGUCCUCGAGAGCUCUGUGCUCCACACCGCGGAUGCGCCGGGGAUCCUUCCUAAUGACAUCGCCCAGCGUCUCCGGAGUCGUCAUCCUGAGGAAUGGGGGCCCAGGGGGUGCCGGCUCGGGGCCUUGCUUCUUGCAGCUACUCUGUGGUCAGGCCGGAUCCUCCACCAUCAGGAAGACCCCAUCCUGACCUCUGUCACCUGCCCCUCCCCCUGUGGGAUGCUGAGCACAGAACCCACAGCCCAUCUGCCUCCUCACCUCCCUGAAUCCGUGUCCAUCUGCAAUAAACCACAGCCCCAGCUGCCUCGUGCUG